ensembl:lncRNA
GUGUGAAGAAGGUGGAUAAAGAUGGUAGAAUGGAACAGUAGUGUGAAGGUGGAUAAAGAUGGUAGAAUGGAACAGUAGUGUGAAGAAGGUGGAUAAAGAUGGUAGAAUGGAACAGUAGUGUGAAGAAGGUGGAUAAAGAUGGUAGAAUGGAACAGUAGUGUGAAGAAGGUGGAUAAAGAUGGUAGAAUGGAACAGUAGUGUGAAGAAGGUGGAUAAAGAUGGUAGAAUGGAACAGUAGUGUGAAGGUGGAUAAAGAUGGUAGAAUGGAACAGUAGUGUGAAGAAGGUGGAUAAAGAUGGUAGAAUGGAACAGUAGUGUGAAGAAGGUGGAUAAAGAUGGUAGAAUGGAACAGUAGUGUGAAGGUGGAUAAAGAUGGUAGAAUGGAACAGUAGUAUGAAGAAGGUGGAUAAAGAUGGUAGAAUGGAACAGUAGUGUGAAGAAGGUGGAUAAAGAUGGUAGAAUGGAACAGUAGUGUGAAGAAGGUGGAUAAAGAUGGUAGAAUGGAACAGUAGUGUGAAGAAGGUGGAUAAAGA